rnacentral:ncRNA from 1 species
UCUAUGGUUCAUUUGAUUAAAAGGGAAGCAGGUUGAAAUCCUGCACGGUCCCGCCACUGUAAGAUGGAUGAAAGCAAAGCACCACUGGCUCACGGCUGGGAAGGUUUGCAAGUAAAAUGAAGUCAAGUCAGGAGACCUGCCAAAGAUUGAU